rnacentral:rRNA from 1 species
CUGAAUCAGCAUGUGUGUUAGUGGAAGCGUCUGGAAAGGCGCGCGAUACAGGGUGAGAGCCCCGUACACAAAAGCGCACAUGCUGUGAGCUCGAUGAGUAGGGCGGGACACGUGGUAUCCUGUCUGAAUAUGGGGGGACCAUCCUCCAAGGCUAAAUACUCCUGACUGACCGAUAGUGAACCAGUACCGUGAGGGAAAGGCGAAAAGAACCCCGGCGAGGGGAGUGAAACAGAACCUGAAACCGUGUACGUACAAGCAGUGGGAGCCCCACCACUAAGCCAGUGGUGAACUCCACAUACGCAUCCUUUGCGGAAGAUGCGGUUAACGGAGCGAAAGCGACGUUCAACCUCAGAAGAAGCAGAGGGGGCUUAGUGGUGGGGUGACUGCGUACCUUUUGUAUAAUGGGUCAGCGACUUAUAUUCUGUAGCAAGGUUAACCGCAUAGGGGAGCCGAAGGGAAACCGAGUCUUAAUUGGGCGUUAAGUUGCAGGGUAUAGACCCGAAACCCGGUGAUCUAGCCAUGGGCAGGUUGAAGGUUGGGUAACACUAACUGGAGGACCGAACCGACUAAUGUUGAAAAAUUAGCGGAUGACCUGUGGCUGGGGGUGAAAGGCCAAUCAAACCGGGAGAUAGCUGGUUCUCCCCGAAAGCUAUUUAGGUAGCGCCUCGUGAAUUCAUCUCCGGGGGUAGAGCACUGUUUCGGCUAGGGGGCCAUCCCGGCUUACCAACCCGAUGCAAACUGCGAAUACCGGAGAAUGUUAUCACGGGAGACACACGGCGGGUGCUAACGUCCGUCGUGAAGAGGGAAACAACCCAGACCGCCAGCUAAGGUCCCAAAGUCAUGGUUAAGUGGGAAACGAUGUGGGAAGGCCCAGACAGCCAGGAUGUUGGCUUAGAAGCAGCCAUCAUUUAAAGAAAGCGUAAUAGCUCACUGGUCGAGUCGGCCUGCGCGGAAGAUGUAACGGGGCUAAACCAUGCACCGAAGCUGCGGCAGCGACACUGUGUGUUGUUGGGUAGGGGAGCGUUCUGUAAGCCGUUGAAGGUGUCCUGUGAGGGGUGCUGGAGGUAUCAGAAGUGCGAAUGCUGACAUAAGUAACGAUAAAGCGGGUGAAAAGCCCGCUCGCCGGAAGACCAAGGGUUCCUGUCCAACGUUAAUCGGGGCAGGGUGAGUCGACCCCUAAGGCGAGGCCGAAAGGCGUAGUCGAUGGGAAACGGGUUAAUAUUCCCGUACUUGGUGUUACUGCGAAGGGGGGACGGAGAAGGCUAUGUUGGCCGGGCGACGGUUGUCCCGGUUUAAGCGUGUAGGUGUGUGUUCCAGGUAAAUCCGGUUCACUUUAACACUGAGGCGUGAUGACGAGGCACCACGGUGCUGAAGCAACAAAUGCCCUGCUUCCAGGAAAAGCCUCUAAGCAUCAGGUAACAUCAAAUCGUACCCCAAACCGACACAGGUGGUCAGGUAGAGAAUACCAAGGCGCUUGAGAGAACUCGGGUGAAGGAACUAGGCAAAAUGGUGCCGUAACUUCGGGAGAAGGCACGCUGACACGUAGGUGAAGUGAUUUACUCAUGGAGCUGAAGUCAGUCGAAGAUACCAGCUGGCUGCAACUGUUUAUUAAAAACACAGCACUGUGCAAACACGAAAGUGGACGUAUACGGUGUGACGCCUGCCCGGUGCCGGAAGGUUAAUUGAUGGGGUCAGCGCAAGCGAAGCUCCUGAUCGAAGCCCCGGUAAACGGCGGCCGUAACUAUAACGGUCCUAAGGUAGCGAAAUUCCUUGUCGGGUAAGUUCCGACCUGCACGAAUGGCGUAAUGAUGGCCAGGCUGUCUCCACCCGAGACUCAGUGAAAUUGAACUCGCUGUGAAGAUGCAGUGUACCCGCGGCAAGACGGAAAGACCCCGUGAACCUUUACUAUAGCUUGACACUGAACAUUGAGCCUUGAUGUGUAGGAUAGGUGGGAGGCUUUGAAGCGUGGACGCCAGUCUGCGUGGAGCCGACCUUGAAAUACCACCCUUUAAUGUUUGAUGUUCUAACGUGGACCCGUAAUCCGGGUUGCGGACAGUGUCUGGUGGGUAGUUUGACUGGGGCGGUCUCCUCCUAAAGAGUAACGGAGGAGCACGAAGGUUGGCUAAUCCUGGUCGGACAUCAGGAGGUUAGUGCAAUGGCAUAAGCCAGCUUGACUGCGAGCGUGACGGCGCGAGCAGGUGCGAAAGCAGGUCAUAGUGAUCCGGUGGUUCUGAAUGGAAGGGCCAUCGCUCAACGGAUAAAAGGUACUCCGGGGAUAACAGGCUGAUACCGCCCAAGAGUUCAUAUCGACGGCGGUGUUUGGCACCUCGAUGUCGGCUCAUCACAUCCUGGGGCUGAAGUAGGUCCCAAGGGUAUGGCUGUUCGCCAUUUAAAGUGGUACGCGAGCUGGGUUUAGAACGUCGUGAGACAGUUCGGUCCCUAUCUGCCGUGGGCGCUGGAAGACUGAGGGGGGCUGCUCCUAGUACGAGAGGACCGGAGUGGACGCAUCACUGGUGUUCGGGUUGUCAUGCCAAUGGCACUGCCCGGUAGCUAAAUGCGGAAAAGAUAAGUGCUGAAAGCAUCUAAGCACGAAACUUGCCCC